UUCGUUCCCGUCUUAAAUUUCUGAUGGAGCCUCUAUACAUAGUUAGUUUCUAUAAACUAUAAUUUUAUAGAUUAUUGAAUGUGAAUAAAUACAAUAAUUAUGUUGGAAAAUUCAAAAAUUUUGACGUGGUUUUGUGUAGUGAAAUAAAUUGCGGCCAGCCUGAAGCUUUACAACUUAAUCAGGAUUGGUGCAUGAAUUCGUGAGUUCAGCUGAGCAAGGGAAGAUUGGCUAACAGCUGCUCGAAUGGCUCCGAAAGCAUUAUAGCUAAAAGGCAGCUGAUUCGCGAGUGCAGUUGUCAUCAGAUUGGAAUCGCGAUCAGCUGAGAAGAUUUGGGCGGAUCCAGCUUUGGUGCCAGGAGGGGGUCACAUAGUCAUGGUCAAGUCAAGAAUUUAUAAUUAAAUUUUGAUAACAAUAGAUACAAGUAAAAAGUAGGUAUUUUAUUAUAAGCACAUUAAAGGUAUAAAGAAAUUUUAGUUUUUUAACUUAGAACUAUGUUAGGAUAUGUUGAAGUUUAGUAGGUGAAUGAAGUUAGCCCCUCAAAAAAUUUUUUUUUUCCUAUUUUAUACUUAUUUUCUAUUAAUUCGUUUGUUCAUCAUUUGUUCAUGAUUGUUCACUGUUAAUAAUUGUUUGUUCUGCAUUUAUUUAUUUAAAAAAAAUAUUUAAAAAUAUACCUACAAGUUAGC